UCAGGAUGAACGCUAGCUACAGGCUUAACACAUGCAAGUCGAGGGGCAGCAGGAAUCUAGCUUGCUAGAUUGCUGGCGACCGGCGCACGGGUGAGUAACGCGUAUCCAACCUUCCCCAUAGUAGAGGAUAGCCCGGCGAAAGUCGGAUUAAUACUCUAUGUUGUAUUUUUGAGGACAUCUGACGAAUACCAAAGAUUGAUCGCUAUGGGAUGGGGAUGCGUCUGAUUAGGUUGUUGGCGGGGUAACGGCCCACCAAGCCGACGAUCAGUAGGGGUUCUGAGAGGAAGGUCCCCCCACAUUGGUACUGAGACACGGACCAAACUCCUACGGGAGGCAGCAGUGAGGAAUAUUGGUCAAUGGACGAGAGUCUGAACCAGCCAAGUAGCGUGCAGGACGACUGCCCUAUGGGUUGUAAACUGCUUUUAUAGGGGAAUAAAGUCCACUACGUGUAGUGGUUUGUAUGUACCCUAUGAAUAAGGACCGGCUAAUUCCGUGCCAGCAGCAGC
rnacentral:rRNA from 1 species